AACGCUGGCGGCGCGCCUAACACAUGCAAGCCGAACGGGAAAGUGGAGCAAUCCAUGAGUACAGUGGCGUACGGGUGAGUAACACGUGGGUAAUCUACCUUUUAGUGAGGAAUAACCGAGGGAAACUUUGGCUAAUACCGCAUAAGCCUGAGAAGGGAAAGCAGAAAUGCGCUGAAAGAGGAGCCCGCGGCCGAUUAGCUAGUUGGUGGGGUAAGAGCCCACCAAGGCAGAGAUCGGUAGCCGGCCUGAGAGGGCACACGGCCACACUGGCACUGAAACACGGGCCAGACUCCUACGGGAGGCAGCAGUGGGGAAUCUUGCACAAUGGGGGAAACCCUGAUGCAGCGACGCCGCGUGAGCGAUGAAGCCCUUCGGGGUGUAMAGCUCUUUCGUCAGGAAGAUAGU
rnacentral:rRNA from 1 species